CUAGACCGAUAGAAAGAGAGAAAGAGAUCGAGAGACAGAGAGAGAUCGUGAGACGGAGAAGAACAGUGAAGAACCAGAUCGAGAAGAGAAGAUAAAUGAGACGGAGAAGACACUAAUCGCGUUUGUGACACAGUGAAGAACAGGGGAUGAAUAUGUUGUAUGCACAAGCUGCUUGAAGAGAAUAUUUAGGAGAAAAGUUACCAGAUUGAAAGGCGAAGUACCAAAAGGAUUACCAGAUUGGAAAGAAGAAGAGAAAGAACAUCUAGGAGAAGAACUUUCAGAUGUUCUAUUAUAUCUAGUUCAACUUUCUCAUUAUUGUGUGAUUGAUCUUGGUAAAACUGCUCUUAGAAAAGUUCAUCUUAAUGCUAUUAAACACCCAGUGAUUAGAUGUAUGUUAGGUGUUAAAGGGAAUUUUUGUAAUUUGUGUUUGAUCUUUGUAAAGCUGUCAAAUUUAUGCACUUAUAUUUAUCAAAUUAACGGCUACAGAUUAAAUUAUUGUGCACUUAAUCUGUACCCGUUAAUUUGAAUUGAUGUCAUACGUGUCGCAAUCCUAUUUAAUAGGACACGCUGGUCAUUUGUAAAAAAUAAACUACCAUUUCGGUAAAACA